rnacentral:tRNA from 1 species
GGGGACGUAGUGUAGAGGCCUAUCAUCAUGGGCUCCAGACCCGUGGACUCGGGUUCAAAUCCCGCCGUCCCCACCA